CUCCAUGACACCCCUACCCCACGCCUGCCCUUGACCCGUCCCCACGCGGGGACGCAGAGCCUGUGUGACAGCUCCUCCAGGGCACGGCCCUUGCUAAGCCACUCCAUCCAGGGCCGUUCCUUCAUCACCCCAAGGGCCCUGCGUCUCCCACGGCUCUGGGGUCCUCCCUCCUUACACACACCUCCCAGACUGGCAAUUCCACCGGGAGCCAGGAGAAGCAGCGACUUCAAGGACGCUCCUCAGCGUGGAACGAGAGGCAAUGUCACCCUUGGAGAGGAGUGGAGCUCUCAGCCUGCUGGCCAGGACGCCGUAUCCGUCCCUCCAGGAAAGACCCGGGUUUCCACGGGCUGAGUGUGUAUGUGCACGCGUGUCACCUGCGUGUCUGGUCAUCGCCUUCUGGGCGGUGUCCUGCUCCAGGUAUGGGUGCCCUUUCCUACCUGCCUGGACCCCCACUGUCGGUGUUCCUGGGUCUCUCAGACCCACACCACAACCCCCAUUGCAGGUGAUCUUCUGAACUUCCUUGUGUUCCAAAGGGAAACCCCGCCUUCUGUACAAGCCCCUGCGUCCCGGGGUGUUUUCAUCCAUCCAACGGGAUAGCGGGCCAGUGCUGGUCCUUUCUUUUUCUCCCCGAGGGGUGGGAAGCAGGCAAGCCUUACAGCGUGGGAGGGGGUGCCGCUGACUCUUUCCUUGUCAUUGGCCAUUUGCUGCCUGCUUCACCAGGCGUGUUUUGAGCAUGUUUGCAUAAAGUGGAUGCAGGCUGCAAUUCCGUGAUGAAUUCUAUGAAUACUAAUCCGCUACUACCCUUGACCUUGGGGUCACCGAAAGAUCAAAACCAAACCAUUUAAUAUUUUCCUUUUGCAGAUCAAUAGAAGCAUAAAUUCCCCCUCAAUGACAAGUAUAAUUUCAAACAGAUCUAUAGAAGGCAUGCGUGCAUUUCCAGCCCCAGACACUAGCUGCCUGCCUGGCCUUUUGGGGAGCAGACGAGGAGCUUCUUGCCUUUUCUACCGUUGAAUUUCUUUUUGCCUUUUUUUAUGGCUCUGAAAUGCUAUUUUCAGCAGCUGCUGUCAUAUAAAUAUCUCUUGUUUUUCUUCUCCUCUUUCCCUCCUGGUGAAAAGGGCAGGGGACCUAUUGAAAAUUCUGCUUUAUCUCUUUCAGUCGGGUUCAAGUACAGGUCGAAUAAUCGAUCCCUCCUCCUUUUCUUUUUUAAGUUUCCUGUCGUUCUUUUGGCCGGAUCAGCAGCGGAGAGAAAUCAGGAGGGCAGCUCUCUUAUGCAGAUCCUCUCAGAGGUCUAUAUUGCUGGGUUUGUGUGCGCGUUUGCGCGUGCACAUGUGCGAGCUGCCAUUGGGUGUGCGUGGGGGGGCGGGUGAGUGCAUGAGUGUGUGUGUGUGUGUGUGUGUGUGUGUGUGUAUGUACCUUUGUGUACAUGACCAUAAAAGCUCAUGCUAGUUCAGACUCUCACCCAGAACUUGAGGAGGGAGGAAAUAGAAAAUCAUCAAAGAGAAAAAGUGGAGGGCUGGAGCAGGCAUUGUUAACCCCUGCAGCUCCCAGGCAGAGCCGGGUCGGGCCUGGGAAUGUCUCCCAGCUGGCUUGCCACGCGUGCGCCUCGUGAAAAAGAGCUUCUGAGUCAUUUUAUGAAUACAACUCCGAGAAGGGAGAAAAGAUGCAAAAAGAAGACGGGGCAAAAACCAGACCAAACCAAAACAAAACUGGAGGCGGAGGGGAAAAAAGCAAAAGAAAAGGAGAAUUAAACCAUUCAUCUGCCCAGAUUUUCCACUUCACAGAGUAAUCAGUUUGGAAGUGACUGAAAUAAAGUGGAAGCCACGACUGCCACCACCUCCUCUCUCCAGUCCACGUUUCUUAUUUACAGAAAAAUGGGGAGUCAGGAAGGCAGCCUCCCUGCCCCCCCCACAAAGGCCCCCAGUGUCCCGCUCCAGAGAGGGACGAGGACCCCAGCCCUCAGCCGCAGCUGCCCGGUGCCGUGACACCCGGGCAACGGCUGCCCUGAGCUGGAGGUGCAAAGCCAAGAUGAUUUAAUUUAUAGAAAGGACAAGGAUGUCGUGUAGCAGAUUUAAUCAUCGGAGAGUUUAAAAAAAAAUAAGGACCGGGCUAAUGUCGUAAUUUACAUUUCAGGAUAAUAAAGAGAGAAAGGCAGAAAAGGAAGGGCCCGUAAGCCUGCAAGAAGCAGUCAGGAGGGGAGGCCAACCAGGGGGCUGAGGGAGCCCAAUAGAUUUGCCUGAAACACCAAUAAAUUUAAAAACAAACCCAGAAAGCUAAAGACAGCCCCUGGAAAGUGCUGGGAAAAUGGACCAUCGAUUUUAGACUUGAUCUGCAUUUUGUAUUUUAAUAAUGCUCUCUCUGUCUUUCCUUUUCUCUCUCUCCCUCUCUCCCUCUCUCGCUCUCUCUCUCUUUUGCAAAAUAUAAAAGCUGAUCUGAUAAAUAUUAAUUUGAACCA